GCUGGCAGGAGCCGAUGCUCAGCGCCUCUCCCAUUUCCCCCUUGCAGGAGGAAGCAGCAGAGCUUGGAGGCGGAGGAGGCCCGGCAGCGCCUGAAGGAGCAGUCCAUCUUUGGGGACCAGCAAGACGAGGACGACAGGCAGCAGUUUCGGAAAUCGGAGUCAGAGGUGGAGGAGGCUGCUGCCAUCAUCGCCCAGCGGCCUGACAACCCCCGGGAGUUCUUCAAGCAGCAGGAGCGGGUGGCAUCGGGCAGCAGUGAUGCUGUGUCACCAGGCAGCCACAGGACAGGUCGUCUGCACUGUCCUUUCAUAAAGACAGCUGACAGUGGGCCACCAUCUUCCUCCUCCUCCUCCUCCUCCCCCCCACGGACCCCCUUCCCCUAUAUCUCCUGCCACCGCACUCCAAAUCUCUCCUCUUUCUUCCCAUGUAGGUAGCUGGGAGCUCCCGGGCGCAGCUCCGGGGGUCGAGCCGGGG